UACAGAGGCCCCAAGCGUUAGGCGGAAUCACUGGGCUUAAAGCGUGUGUAGGCGGGUCGUUAAGUACCUUGUGAAAUCCCACGGCUUAACCGUGGAACCGCUUGGUAUACUGGCGAUCUUGAGCCACUUAGGGGCUACCGGAACAGAUGGUGGAGCGGUGAAAUGCGUAGAUAUCAUCUGGAACGCCAAUGGUGAAAACAGGUAGCUGGGAGUGUGCUGACGCUGAGACACGAAAGCCAGGGGAGCGAACGGG
rnacentral:rRNA from 1 species